rnacentral:lncRNA from 1 species
GCCGUGAAUGGCCACGAGUCCAGCCUUGGAUAAGACUAAGCUCCGGCUGCCCCCACUUGGAGGCCAUCAUCACAUGUCCUGCCGUGGAGAAGCUGGGGGACUCGAACUCCCCUGCUCAUCUUCUUUAGGGCCCUCCCACUCAGUGUUGUUUUCCAUGAGUGACACAACGCCUUCCCCCAGCUCUGUAAGGCCUGGCUGUAGUUACCGACUUCUCCUGUGGACAAGAAACUGCCCGCCUGCAGUGAGUGGCCACUCAGCAUACGAUGACACCUUUACAAAUAAAAGCAAGGGCUACCCACAUAGUCCCUAUGUUGGCCUGUCUAUUUCCAUUAAUGACAAAUAUUAGUUUCUUAACAGUGGGAUGUAAUUGAGAUUUCUGGCUGCUUUUUGGGAAGAAGCAACAGACU